GUCGAACGGAAUUCUUAUAUGUUUCCUUGUUCUCGAAUUCUUUGCGGAUUAGAGCUACGGAACAAUAAGUAUUUAGUGGCGGACGGGUGAGUAACACGUUGGUACCUACCCCUUAGUGGGGAAUAACUUCGAGAAAUCGAGGCUAAUACCGCAUAAUAUCUACGGAUUAAAGCAUUUAUGCGCUAAGGGAGGGGCCUGCGUCUGAUUAGCUAGUUGGUGAGGUAAAAGCUCACCAAGGCGACGAUCAGUAGCUGGAUCGAGAGGUUGACCAGCCACACUGGGACUGAGAUACGGCCCAGACUCCGUACGGGAGGCAGCAGUGAGGAAUCUUCCACAUGGACGAAAGUCUGAUGGAGCAAUGCCGCGUGCAGGAUGACGGCCUUCGGGUUGUAAACUGCUUUUAUAUGGGAAGAUUAUGACGGUACCAUAUGAAUAAGGACCGGCUAACUACGUG
rnacentral:rRNA from 1 species